rnacentral:rRNA from 1 species
GACGGAGGGUGCUAGCGUUAUUCGGAAUUACUGGGCGUAAAGGGCGCGUAGGCGGCCCUGUCAGUCGGGUGUGAAAGCCCGGGGCUCAACCCCGGAACGGCACCCGAGACGGCAGGGCUGGAGACCGGGAGAGGAGGGUGGAAUAGCCAGUGUAGAGGUGAAAUUCGUAGAUAUUGGCUGGAACACCGGUGGCGAAAGCGGCUCUCUGGCCCGGUUCUGACGCUGAGGCGCGAAAGCGUGGGGAGCAAACAGG